CUACCCUUGACAUGCUAGGAAUUCUGCAGAGAUGUGGAAGUGCUCGAAAGAGAACCUAGACACAGGUGCUGCAUGGCCGUCGUCAGCUCGUGUCGUGAGAUGUUGGGUUAAGUCCCGCAACGAGCGCAACCCUUGUCCCUAGUUGCUACGCAAGAGCACUCUAGGGAGACUGCCGGUGACAAACCGGAGGAAGGUGGGGAUGACGUCAAGUCCUCAUGGCCCUUAUGGGUAGGGCUUCACACGUCAUACAAUGGUCGGAACAGAGGGUCGCCAACCCGCGAGGGGGAGCCAAUCCCAGAAAACCGAUCGUAGUCCGGAUCGCACUCUGCAACUCGAGUGCGUGAAGCUGGAAUCGCUAGUAAUCGCGGAUCAGCUUGCCGCGGUGAAUA
rnacentral:rRNA from 1 species